rnacentral:rRNA from 1 species
UACAGAGGUCCCAAGCGUUGUUCGGAUUUACUGGGCGUAAAGGGUGCGUAGGUGGUCGGGUAAGUCUCAUGUGAAAUCUCCAAGCUUAACUUGGAAAUGGCAUGGGAUACUAUUCGGCUAGAGGAUUGGAGGGGGGACUGGAAUUCCCGGUGUAGCAGUGAAAUGCGUAGAUAUCGGGAGGAACACCAGUGGCGAAGGCGAGUCCCUGGACAAUUCCUGACGCUGAGGCACGAAAGCGUGGGGAGCGAACAGG